rnacentral:rRNA from 1 species
AUUGAACGCUGGCGGCAUGCUUUACACAUGCAAGUCGAACGGCAGCGCGGGCUUCGGCCUGGCGGCGAGUGGCGAACGGGUGAGUAAUGCAUCGGAACGUGCCCAGUAGUGGGGGAUAGCCCGGCGAAAGCCGGAUUAAUACCGCAUACGACCUGAGGGUGAAAGCGGGGGACCGAAAGGCCUCGCGCUAUUGGAGCGGCCGAUGUCGGGUUAGCUAGUUGGUGGGGUAAAGGCUUACCAAGGCGACGAUCCGUAGCUGGUCUGAGAGGACGACCAGCCACACUGGGACUGAGACACGGCCCAGAGUCCUACGGGAGGCAGCAGUGGGGAAUUUUGGACAAUGGGGGCAACCCUGAUCCAGCCAUGCCGCGUGCGGGAAGAAGGCCUUCGGGUUGUAAACCGCUUUUGUUCGGGAAGAAAUCCUCUGGGCUAAUACCCCGGGGGGAUGACGGUACCGGAAGAAUAAGCACCGGCUAACUACGUG